rnacentral:misc_RNA from 1 species
AUUCCAUAACUAUAAACAUCUCCGCAUGUUGAUGGCUCACUUCCUAGCCCAUAUUCUGGUGCCGCGUAGCCAAUUGUGCCCCUCACUCCGACUGAACUGCUUUGAAUUGGAUUUUCGAGCUGAGAGAGAAACUUUGCUAGCCCAAAAUCUCCAAUGUGAGCGACCAUAUCAUUGUCCAGAAGAAUGUUGCAUGGCUUUAGAUCACAAUGAAUGACUGGCUUUUGGCAACCAUGGUGCAGAUAAUCCAGCGCGCUCCCUACGUCUAUUGCAAUGUUUAUUCUCUGGAGAAAGCUCAAACUCCAUUGUUCAGUUGGCUCAACAUAUACUUCUGAACUUGGAUGCAACCAUUUGUCUAGGUUUCCAUUCGGCAUAUACUCGUAAACAAGUGCCUUAAAAUCGUUCCCCUGGAAAUCAAUACUUGAGCAAGAUGUGAUGGUCCUCACAAGAUUUCGAUGACGUAUAUUUUGCAAGACUUUACAUUCAGCCAGAAAACUUUUUGCAGCUCCUCUCUGUUGAAGGUUGAGUACUUUUACUGCAAAGAUUGCUCCAUCCUCCACAGAAAUGCCUUUAUACACAGACCCAAAGCUUCCCGCACCAAUCAAAUUUGCUGAAGAGAAC